GAUGAACGCUAGCGGCAGGCCUAAUACAUGCAAGUCGAACGGUGUCUUCGGACAUAGUGGCGCACGGGUGCGUAACACGUAUGCAACCUACCUUACAUUGGGGGAUAGCCUUUCGAAAGGGAGAUUAAUACCGCAUAAGACAGUAGCUGGGCAUCCAGCAGCUGUUAAAGAUUUAUCGAUGUAAGCUGGGCAUGCGUCCAAUUAGCUAGUUGGUGAGGUAACGGCUCACCAAGGCAAUGAUUGGUAGGGGAACUCAGAGGUCAAUCCCCCACACUGGCACUGAGAUACGGGCCAGACUCCUACGGGAGGCAGCAGUAGGGAAUAUUGGGCAAUGGACGGAAGUCUGACUCAGCCAUGCCGCGUGCAGGAUGAAGGCGUUAUGCGUUGUAAACUGCUUUUAUACAGGAAGAAACGACUCUUGCGAGAGGCAUUGACGGUACUGUAUGAAUAAGCACCGGCUAACUCCGUGCCAGCAGCCGCAGUAAAAC
rnacentral:rRNA from 1 species